UUUAGAUUUCAAUUUGGUAGCAGGAAAAGAAUCUGUUGCAGUCAAGUUGACAGAUAUGUUUACAUCUUCGUCCUUGUUUUGCGACACACACGUUAUUAAGGGGAUGCUAUUGUGUACGAAGCCAUUGUUAUUGACACGGAUUAUUCUCCCUUGCCUCGUUAUCCUUGGGCAUUUUGCGUGUCCAUGCGUAGUUUUAGCACUCUUUUUCAACAGUUCCAUCUGUGUUGACUUGUAACUGUGUGAUUUUAUAUAUUAAGCACCUAUGCUGGCAAUUGUUUUAAAUAAUAAAAAGCUUGUGCAAACUUCAGUCAUCGCACAGUGGAGCAACAAAGUAUUUUCUACUAUAACCACAUAUGUUUUCUGUUAACUAUACCAACACGUUCACAAUCUACAUAUUUUCUUGUUUGUUUAUUUACAAGUGCCUAAAGAAAUCAACUACACCAAAUGCUUGCAAGUUGCUGCAUAAAUAUUUCGUCUGCUAAUUCUCUCCCGUCCUUCCCCAACUUUGAGAAGAGUUACAAUCCUUGGGACCCUUGCAACGGAAGUGGAACCCCGUUUGCUUGUGAACCACGCGGGUUAUUCAAAGAUAGCGACCGAAAAUUGGGAUGAGGCAGCAUCUGCUGUGGCGGAAGCCAUGGACGAAAUAAAAUUGUUCAGAAAAUGGUCUGCCGACGCAGUUGAAGUAUCAGACAUCAGCCUGAUGGAUGAUAUUGCAGUCAAGGAGAAGUAUGCCAAGUUCCUACAACACUCUGCAGGACGUUACCAAGUCAAGCAUUUUCCGUAAGGCUCAACGCCCCAUUGUAGAGCGCUUAGCAUGCAGUCUGAUGUGAUGAUGCAUGGACGUAACAGUGGCAAGAAACUCACGGCCAUUGGCAUUGUAAAGUCUGCUUUUGAGAUCAUCCACCUGUUGACAGGGGAGUAUGGCGACGGAAAAUUGCUAUGAGGCAGCAUCUGCUGUGGCGGAAGCCAUGGACGAAAUAAAAUUGUUCAGAAAAUGGUCUGCCGGCGCUGUUCAAGUAUCAGACAUCAGCCUGAU